UUAGCGUAUAUUAUUUAUAUUUAAAUAGAAUUUAUGAAUUUUAAGUAAUGAAUAUAUAAUUAACGUAUAUUCAUUUUAUCUUAAGUAUGUUCUAAAUAUUUAACGAUUUUUGAACUUUAUUAUAUUUAUAUAUUUAAUGUAUAUUUAAAUUCUUUUAAAUAUAUUCCAAAUAUUUUAACGGUUUGCGCAAUCAAGAUUUAUUUUAGAAUUUUAUGUUGAAAAUAAUUUGAAUUAGGAAAACUCGUUGAAUUCGAAAAAAAAAAAAACAAUUCUAUUCGGUUUUGACUCAAACACUAAAAUCCAAAUCUUAAUCCUAGCCCACAUGGGAAAAGCCCAAAAUAAAAAAAAAAAAAAAAAACAAAAAAAAAACAAAAAAAAAACCCAUACCCCUCUUUUCUAAUUCACGUGAAACCAACCUCACCCAAAACCCCUUCCUUCCUCUCUUUCACGUAAAAAGGAAAACUCAACCCUCAACCUCCAUUGCUUGCUUGUUGCCCAGCCGCCACCACCCUGCCUGACCGCCGCCUGUUCCUCCGCCGUAGUCCCUCUCCGUCGCCGCACGCAACCAUAGCAACCACCGCAGCCCGCCACCGUACCCACCACCAGUCGCACAACCACCUUCGUCGUUCCCUCCACGCUGCGCCGCCACCUGCAGCGCCGCUGCUGCACUGCACACACCAAUUCUCUCCUUCCUCUUUCGUUGCUUGCAACCACCCGCAACAACCAGGUGCGCCCACCGCAGUCACCACCUCCAGCCGCGUCGCCCGUUCUCCGCGACCACCUCCCUUGCUGCCGCGCCGUGCACCACCGCCCAGCCUCUCCUCUCCUCUUUAGUUUGGCGGAGAAUUCUUUGUGGGCGAUUUUUGAAUUCGUUAAAGUGGCCUAUCAGUUUGUUUACACAAGUCUCUAAGGAUCAAUAAGCAUUGUCCAUCUGCAGGUUUGAAGAUGUUGCAUCAUUGGGAUCGGGAAUAGAGAGCUUGUAUUUAGUUUUGAUUUGCUAAGUUGACUUGGGUUUGUUUAAAUGGACUUUAAACUUGUCAUACUAUUUAUAUUUCCUUAUUUUCGUUGGUUGAUUUUUGAGACUAAACCUGUAAUCGAUUAUUUAUAAACCUAAAGUUAGUUUUAUGUUUUC